rnacentral:rRNA from 1 species
UUGGAGGGCAAGUCUGGUGCCAGCAGCCGCGGUAAUUCCAGCUCCAAUAGCGUAUAUUAAAGUUGCUGCAGUUAAAAAGCUCGUAGUUGAAUUUCGGGACCAUCAUGUCGGUCGUGCCUCGGUACGUACUGGCAUUGUUGGUUUCUCCCUUCUGACGAACCAUGAUGUCAUUUAUUUGGUGUUGUGGGGAAUCAGGACUGUUACUUUGAAAAAAUUAGAGUGUUUAAAGCAGGCUCACGCUUGAAUACAUUAGCAUGGAAUAAUGAAAUAGGACGUUUGAUUCUAUUUUGUUGGUUUCUAGGAUCGACGUAAUGAUCAAUAGGGAUAGUUGGGGGCAUUAGUAUUCAAUUGUCAGAGGUGAAAUUCUUGGAUUUAUUGAAGACUAACUACUGCGAAAGCAUUUGCCAAGGAUGUUUUCAUUAAUCAUGAACAAAAGUUAGGGGAUCGAAGACGAUCAGAUACCGUCGUAGUCUUAACCAUAAACUAUGCCGACUAGGGAUCGGAUGAUGUUAAUUUUUUAAUGACUCAUUCGGCGCCUUACGGGAAACCAAAGUGUUUGGGUUC